rnacentral:rRNA from 1 species
AUCGAACGCUGGCGGCAUGCUUUACACAUGCAAGUCGAACGGUAACAGGCCGCAAGGUGCUGACGAGUGGCGAACGGGUGAGUAAUGCAUCGGAACGUGCCCAGUCGUGGGGGAUAACGCAGCGAAAGCUGCGCUAAUACCGCAUACGAUCUAUGGAUGAAAGCGGGGGACCGUAAGGCCUCGCGCGAUUGGAGCGGCCGAUGUCAGAUUAGGGAGUUGGUGGGGUAAAGGCUCACCAAGCCAAAGAUCUGUAGCUGGUCUGAGAGGACGACCAGCCACACUGGGACUGAGACACGGCCCAGACUCCUACGGGAGGCAGCAGUGGGGAAUUUUGGACAAUGGGCGCAAGCCUGAUCCAGCAAUGCCGCGUGCAGGAAGAAGGCCUUCGGGUUGUAAACUGCUUUUGUACGGAACGAAACGGUUCGGGUUAAUACCCUGGGCUAAUGACGGUACCGUAAGAAUAAGCACCGGCUAACUACGUGCCAGCAGCCGCAGUAACAC